rnacentral:misc_RNA from 1 species
GGCACUGCCUCCCCCUUUGUUGCUGACGGCGUGUUGUUGGCCCCGCCGUCUUGCCCUCCGACACGCGCACAAGGUCGGAGCCAGACCCCCUCUUCCUCCUCCUCCUCUCCCUCGUCUCUUUCCAGCUGUCGUGCACGUUUGCCUGACGCUGCGCCGCGCUGCCCUUGCGCGCCUCGCACGGCAAGCCGGUGUUUUUGCCUGUGCACCCCGACAGCGCGUCCAGCUGCUCGCGUGCUCGUUUUGUCGUUCCUUUGCUGCGCGCCCCUCUUUCCCCCGUGCGUGGCCGCUCUCUCGCUCGUCUCUCUCGCAUCACGCUGAUGCCGAGGCCCGUACGGCGGCACGGCCGGAUUGCGGGUUUCUCUCUUCCGGUGUGUGUGUUUCUCUUUGUCCUAUGCUUGCUCGGCUCGUAUCGUGCCUUGUGACGCCGGCGCACUCGCUGAAUUGCCGCGCUGCCGCCGAGCUCCACCUCCUUGUGUGAGCCUCACCGUCUUCGGUAUCGGCCACCGCCGCCAGACGUAUGCGAAGCGAGCGGUGCUGAGGGGCAGAUGUCUGUCGGCUUGCGCAGGCUCUUCUUUUUGCAUGUGCGAUUCAAGCGAGGUGACGCGACUCUGCCCUCACCCCACACGGAUAUGCAUCUGAUUUCUCGCGUCUUGGCACACGCAGAUCACAGUCUGCGUCUUCUACCGCCAAGCAUCUCUGCCGCGUUGUCGGCAGCUGUGGCCCGUUUCGUCUCCGCCGAUGGGUGUGGAGCCGGGAUCGCACUCACGCGUCGCUGUAUGCCUGCGUCUCUCGCUCUCUCUGGUGAGGGCUCGCAGCACCUCACUUGCCGCUUCGCUCGAUCUAUUCUUUCUCUUUUUGUGCUGCACUGGGCCGCACCACCACCGCAUUGGUGACCGCACACCGCUCCCCACCGAGGCUUCCGCGGCUGCUGCACGUGCGUGGACGGCAUUCGCGCAG